GAUGAACGCUGGCGGCGUGCCUAAUACAUGCAAGUCGAGCGAACGGGCGAGGAGCUUGCUUCUCUGUUGAUAGCGGCGGACGGGUGAGUAACGCGUGGAUAAUCUACCUAUAAGACUGGGAUAACUUCGGGAAACGGGAGCUAAUACCGGAUAAUAUCUUGAACCGUAUGGUUCAAAAGUGAAAGACGGUCUUGCUGUCACUUAUAGAUGGAUCCGCGCUGCUUUAGCUAGUUGUUAAGGUAACGGCUUACCACGGGAACUAUGCAUAGCCGACCUGAGAGGGGGAUCGGCCACACUGGAACGGGGCCACGCUCCAGACUCCUACGGGAGGCAGCAGUAGGGAAUCUUCCGCAAUGGGCGAAAGCCUGACGGAGCAACGCGGCGUGAGCGAUGAAGGUCUUCGGAUCGUAAAACUCUGUUAUUAGGGAAGAACAUAUGUGUAAGUAACUGUGCACAUCUUGACGGUACCUAAUCAGAAAGCCACGGCUAACUACGUG
rnacentral:rRNA from 1 species